GACAGAGGUGCCGAGCGUUAGGCGGAAUCACUGGGCUUAAAGCGUGUGUAGGCGGGCCGUUAAGUGCCCCGUGAAAUCCCCCGGCUCAACCGGGGAACGGCGGGGCAUACUGGCGACCUUGAGCCACUUAAGGGCAGACGGAACAAGCGGUGGAGCGGUGAAAUGCGUAGAUAUCAUUUGGAACGCCAAUGGUGAAAACAGGUAGCUGGGGCUGUGCUGACACUGAGACACGAAAGCCAGGGGAGCGAACGGG
rnacentral:rRNA from 1 species